rnacentral:tmRNA from 1 species
GGGGACGACAUGGCUUCGACUGGAGUCAAUGGUCUUUGGCUGCAUGCCGGACUGAGCAACUCCGUUAUACGGCUCACAAUUGCUUAAACGCAAACAAUACAAAUUAUCGCCCAGCUUUAGCAGUAGCUUAAGUUUUACCCCCUCUUAAAGAGGACGGGCUGCUUCACCUGCGGAUUCUAAAUAAGCAGGAUUUUGAAGUAUAACCCUUUAUUUAGAUAUAUCAUGUGUUUGUCUCAACACAUGAUGAAUAAAAGAGGCUGGUCUUGUGUAGCUUUGCAGGUUGUGUGAAGCAAGAUAAGAUGAAACAACCUUUCUAAGCAUGUAGACGUCACAGACAGUUGGCUCUAGGACUCCGGUUCGAUCCCGGACGUCUCCACCA